rfam:Thielavia terrestris NRRL 8126 chromosome 4, complete sequence.
UCUUCCGUAGUAUAGUGGUUAGUAUGUGAGCUUGUCACUUCAUGACAUCGCUCGAGACCCGGGUUCAAUUCCCGGCGGGAGAG